rnacentral:lncRNA from 1 species
UCACUUUAUAUCCAUUAGGAAGAGUUACAAGGUAGGGUACAGUUAAAGGUGUUAUGUUGAAGAGUAAACUUUUAUCAUAUGUCAUAUGAUUAGAUGCUCCUGAGUCUAUUAUCCAGGUGGCAGAGUUAAUAUGGGUAAGCAUUCAAAGCUUGGAAUCAGAAAUAGGGCUCUCAGUUAGCAUAGUACCAGCAAAAUUAGCAGCAUACAUGGGAGGAGGAGUCUGAGGAGUGGAAUCCCCUAACUGAGUCUGUUGUAACAAGCUCAUCAAUUGGUCAUACUGUUGUCUGCUCAACCCUGGUAUCACAGAACUCUGG